rnacentral:rRNA from 1 species
UACCAGCACCCCGAGUGGUCGGGACGUUUAUUGGGCCUAAAGCAUCCGUAGCCGGUUCUGCAAGUCUUCCGUUAAAUCCACCUGCUUAACAGAUGGGCCGCGGAAGAUACUAUAGAGCUAGGAGGCGGGAGAGGCAAGCGGUACUCGAUGGGUAGGGGUAAAAUCCGUUGAUCCAUUGAAGACCACCAGUGGCGAAGGCGGCUUGCGAGAACGCGCUCGACGGUGAGGGAUGAAAGCUGGGGGAGCAAACCGG